GAUGAACGCUAGCUACAGGCUUAACACAUGCAAGUCGAGGGACCGGCGCACGGGUGAGUAACGCGUAUCCAACCUUCCGUACACUCAGGGAUAGCCUUUCGAAAGAAAGAUUAAUACCUGAUGGUGUACGAUGGGGAUGCGUUCCAUUAGGUAGUAGGCGGGGUAACGGCCCACCUAGCCAACGAUGGAUAGGGGUUCUGAGAGGAAGGUCCCCCACAUUGGAACUGAGACACGGUCCAAACUCUACGGGAGGCAGCAGUGAGGAAUAUUGGCCAAUGGACGAGAGUCUGAACCAGCCAAGUAGCGUGAAGGAUGAAGGUCUACGGAUUGUAAACUUCUUUUAUAAGGGAAUAUGUACCUUAUGAAUAAGCAUCGGCUAACUCCGUGCCAGCAGCCGCGGUAAUACGGAGGAUGCGAGCGUUAUCCGGAUUUAUUGGGUUUAAAGGGAGCGCAGACGGGUAGUUAAGUCAGCUGUGAAAGUUUGGGGCUCAACCUUAAAAUUGCAGUUGAUACUGGCGUCCUUGAGUGCGGUUGAGGUGUGCGGAAUUCGUGGUGUAGCGGUGAAAUGCUUAGAUAUCACGAAGAACUCCG
rnacentral:rRNA from 1 species